UACAGAGGGUGCAAGCGUUAAUCGGAUUUACUGGGCGUAAAGCGUGAGUAGGUGGCUCGCUAAGUCGAUUGUGAAAGCCCUGGGCUCAACCUGGGAAUUGCAGUCGAUACUGGAGAGCUAGAGUUCGGUAGAGGGUGACGGAAUUCCCGGUGUAGCGGUGAAAUGCGCAGAUAUCAGGAGGAACACCGGCGGCGAAGGCGGGUUCCUGGGCCUUAACUGACGCUGAGACACGAAAGCUAGGGGAGCAAACAGG
rnacentral:rRNA from 1 species